rnacentral:lncRNA from 1 species
GGUAGGCUGUGGAAAAAACAGGGAUGAGGAGGAUCGACUUCCAGCUCCUAUUUUACCCACAAAUCGUGGUGUUAUUAACGACAUAAUUCUUGCUUAGGCUUUGCUAAUUCUGAGGUUGAUAAUUCUCCUUUAGGAGCUGCACAGCACUCAGAACUGUGCAUACUGGUUUGUGAUUGUACAAAUUCAGUAUGGGCACCGCUUGGUGCAGAGAUACUUACUGCAAGGAAAGGUCCGGCUUGACCAUUUCUGAGUUUCCUGUGAGAUAAACCCGGUUUGAAAGAGGUUGGUACCAAAUUUUGGUUAAAAAUAAAAAAUAUUCUCCGGCUCUACCUCGCCUCCCCAAAAGGUACCGAGAGCCACAUGUGUGGGUUUUACCCACGGGAGGAAUCGGGUCCAUGUCCACCCAAGCCAAGGUUAAAAGCCCACUCAUCUACGGAUGAGAAAAUCAUUUGAUCACCUCAGUUAAGCGUUGCCUUAUUUAACUUAAUUAAUAGGGGGGAGAGAGAUUGGAGACGUACUAUUGAAAGGGCAAGCCCUUCACUGCCUCCCACCCAAAUAAAAAGGCCAAUUGGCCUUGUACUACAAGAGCCGGUCACUCCUUCUCCCUGUUUCCCACCUAUCUUCCAAAAAUGCGGAGGAAUAUCAACUUAGUGCUAUUUUCACAUCGUUCAGUCAAACUUAGCCAGAGUUCCAACGCCCUACUUAAAAUUCAACUAGAAAGUUACCUACCAAGUACUAAUUAGCAUUAUAAAGUCAGAGUCUGCAGCUCCAGGCCUUUCAGUUAGUUGUUUACUAGAAAGGACAGUCUUAAGCCAGAUACAGUUUACCAUAAGAAAAGUUAAAGAAUCCCAGUGAAGCAAGUUUUUUCUUUAGCCCUAGAUUCCAGGCAGAACUAUUGAGCAUAGAUAAUUUUCCCCCCUCAGGCCAGCUUUUUCCUUUUUUUUAUUUUGUUAAUAAUAGGGAGGAGAUGUAGUCUCCCCUCCCCCAGCCUGAAACCUGCUUGCUCGGGGUGGAGCUUCCUGCUCAUUCGUUCUGCCACGCCCACUGCUGGAACCUGCGGAGCCACACCCGUGCACCUUUCUACUGGACCAGAGAUUAUUCGGCGGGAAUCGGGUCCCCUCCCCCUUCCUUCAUAACUGGUGUCGCAACAAUAAAAUUUGAGCCUUGAUC